AUGCUAAGCAUAUCCUGGUGUUCUAAACUCAUGCUAAGUCCAUCAUUCUUCAGGCCUUGUGCGCAUGAUCGUCUUUCUAAACCGCCUGAUGCCAACCAAUUAACCCGAGAUUAUGCUAUAACCUACAGAAAACUGGUCCACAAAUUCAAUCAAAAAAUGGUUCAGCAGCCUGCAAACAUGCCCUGCACCAGUCCUAAUAAGACCAAAAUCAGUGCAAAAUGCUACUAG